rnacentral:snoRNA from 1 species
AAGACGAUACUUUCAAGAGUCACUUCCAUAGUUCAUUACUAGAGAAGAUUCUCUGAUCACAGAGAGCACCAGAAACAAUGAGGAUGAAUCACAGUGAUACCUCCUAUGUGUGAUGUCAACUCUUGGUGUUAAUUUGCUGCAGUUUCCAUUUGCUAUUGAUGAUUGGUCUUCUUUUCCUUUGGGAGAGUAAGAGGGAGAGAAUGCUGUCUGAGUGGU